rnacentral:rRNA from 1 species
AUUGAACGCUGGCGGCAGGCCUAACACAUGCAAGUCGAGCGGAUGAAGGGAGCUUGCUCCUGGAUUCAGCGGCGGGCGGGUGAGUAAUGCCUAGGAAUCUGCCUGGUAGUGGGGGAUAACGUCCGGAAACGGGCGCUAAUACCGCAUACGUCCUGAGGGAGAAAGUGGGGGAUCUUCGGACCUCACGCUAUCAGAUGAGCCUAGGUCGGAUUAGCUAGUUGGUGGGGUAAUGGCCUACCAAGGCGACGAUCCGUAACUGGUCUGAGAGGAUGAUCAGUCAAAAUGGGAAUGAGACACGGACAAGACUCCGACGGGAGGGAGCGGUAGGGAAUCUGCGGCAAUGGGGGCAAGAGUGAACGAGUAAAGUCGGGUGAGUGAAGAAGGUUGUCGGAUCGUAAAGCUCUGUUGUAAGUCAAGAACGGGUGUGAGCGUGGAAAGUUCACACUGUGACGGUAGCUUACAAGAAAGGGACGGCUAACUACGUG